ACACCUUAAAUGGUUUUAAUAAGGUAAAGUUUUACAUUUAGUAAAUGAUCUCUUACAAACAAAUCUAAGUGUAAGGACAGGGUUUCACCAGAAUGUGAUGCGUAUCUGCUUUAGUAGCUUUUCUACAUCCGCCCAAGCGAAAACAAUAUUAUAUUAAUAAAUCAUAAGAGGCUUCUAUUAGCUUGAUAAAUAAGCACAUUUAAAAUACAAGUUAGAAAAGGAUUUGUUUAAAUACUUUAAAUAGUCUUUGUCAUACCAUUCUAGUGAUGCCUAAUACAAUUUUCAUUUUUCGAAGAUUUUUGGUAGAAAUUUAAUCUUUGAAAAUAUUAAUAACAGCUUACAGCAGGUAAGCUAUAAAAUAACACUGGAUGCUGUCUAUUUAGUUUCUGGUUGAAAAAGCACAGCAGUACUUUAGUUCAUUACCUUUGAAAAAAACAGUAACAAGAUAAUACAGCUGCCUCUGAUUAAGAUGUAAAUUCUUUCUAAUUAGAAUGUAAAUUCUUACAUUUAAAUGAAGACAUCAAUUGUCAGGAUGCCAUAUGAUAUCUUAUUCCACCUUGCCUGAAUGCAGCCCUCACUGCUCAUCUAUGGCACUAAAAUAGUUUUGCAGUCCCUUUGUUCUCUGAUUCUUGUAAUAUUCUCUCUUCAUG
rnacentral:lncRNA from 1 species